GACUGACGCUCAGGUGCGAAAGCGUGGGGAGCAAACAGGAUUAGAUACCCUGGUAGUCCACGCCGUAAACGAUGUCUACUUGGAGGUUGUGCCCUUGAGGCGUGGCUUCCGGAGCUAACGCGUUAAGUAGACCGCCUGGGGAGUACGGCCGCAAGGUUAAAACUCAAAUGAAUUGACGGGGGCCCGCACAAGCGGUGGAGCAUGUGGUUUAAUUCGAUGCAACGCGAAGAACCUUACCUGGUCUUGACAUCCACAGAACUUUCCAGAGAUGGAUUGGUGCCUUCGGGAACUGUGAGACAGGUGCUGCAUGGCUGUCGUCAGCUCGUGUUGUGAAAUGUUGGGUUAAGUCCCGCAACGAGCGCAAC
rnacentral:rRNA from 2 species